GAGUUUGAUCAUGGCUCAGAUUGAACGCUGGCGGCAUGCCUUACACAUGCAAGUCGAACGGCAGCACGGGAGCUUGCUCCUGGUGGCGAGUGGCGAACGGGUGAGUAAUGCAUCGGAACGUAUCCUGGAGUGGGGGAUAACGUAGCGAAAGUUACGCUAAUACCGCAUAUUCUGUGAGCAGGAAAGCGGGGGACCUUCGGGCCUCGCGCCCCUUGGAGCGGCCGAUGUCGGAUUAGCUAGUUGGUGAGGUAAAGGCUCACCAAGGCGACGAUCCGUAGCAGGUCUGAGAGGAUGAUCUGCCACACUGGAACUGAGACACGGUCCAGACUCCUACGGGAGGCAGCAGUGGGGAAUUUUGGACAAUGGGGGCAACCCUGAUCCAGCCAUGCCGCGUGAGUGAAGAAGGCCUCGGUUGUAAG
rnacentral:rRNA from 1 species